CACUUGGUGGUGCGCAACUGCCUGCAGCCGCAGGCCCGGUUGCUGAAGGAGUUGAGCGACUACCUGACCAACCUGCACAGUCUGGGGACCCGGAGCGAGGGCCUGGUCAACCUCCUCUUCAGCAAGCUCAGCCUGCACGAUGGGGGCAAGGAGAACUGAGCGUGGACUGUCCCGGGCCGGGCCCAGGGCUCCCCCCUGGUCUCCAGGCAGGCCACGCGCUCCUCCAUCACUGCUUUCAUGUCCCUUCUUUGUUGCACUGUUGCUUCCAAUAUAAAGUUACUUGGUUCUUAACGAAAAAAGAAAAAAAGAAGUCUUGCUCCGCAACUUGUUAAAAACUUGGGUAUGGUAAAAAAUAAUAUGGUGAAUGCUGCUGUCCAGUGUAUCCAAUGGAAAGGAUGGAUCAUAAAACCAUGGCAGUGUUUCCUCAUUGGCUUUAUUCAUCUGAUCAGAUACCAUGUGACUUCUGGCUCUUCCUCCAAGUCAAAAUGACCCUGAAAUGUAUGGAGCCAAAGAAGAUGGAACAUAUUCUUAGGUGAACAAUUGAAAAAUUUUUUAAAGUAGCUCAAUUUUUCACCCUAAUCUCUGUUGAGAUCUACAUCACCCACACUCUCCUCAUGUAGAAUAUUCUAUUAUUCCCACUUUUCUACUUACCCAAAAACUGAGCUCAAAUUUCACUUCCUCAAGGAAACUUUCCAG
rnacentral:lncRNA from 1 species